UACAGAAGCCUCAAGCGUUACCCGGAUUUACUGGGCGUAAAGGGUAUGUAGGCGGUUUUAUUAGUCGUGUGUUAAAUCGUGGGGCUCAACCCCACGUUCGCGCAGGAAACGGUAAAACUAGAAGGAGUGAGAGGUAUGCGGAACUCAAGGUGUAGCAGUGAAAUGCGUUGAUAUCUUGGGGAACACCAAAUGCGAAGGCAGCAUACUGGCACUUUCUUGACGCUGAGAUACGAAAGCGUGGGUAGCGAAUGGG
rnacentral:rRNA from 1 species